UGCUCAUGUGGCCUAGUGGUUAGAGCAUCUGCCUUGGAUGUGGGAGGUCAUGGGUUCGAUCCCUGAUCGAGUCA